CAUACGUUGACGGUAUUUAACCAGAAAGUCACGGCUAACUACGUGCCAGCAGCCGCGGUAAUACGUAGGUGGCAAGCGUUAUCCGGAUUUAUUGGGCGUAAAGAGAGUGCAGGCGGUUUUUCUAAGUCUGAUGUGAAAGCCUUCGGCUUAACCGGAGAAAGUGCAUCGGAAACUGGAUAAACUUGAGUGCAGAAGAGGGUAGUGGAACUCCAUGUGUAGCGGUGGAAUGCGUAGAUAUAUGGAAGAACACCAGUGGCGAAGGCGGCUACCUGGUCUGCAACUGACGCUGAGACUCGAAAGCAUGGGUAGCGAACAGGAUUAGAUACCCUGGUAG
rnacentral:rRNA from 1 species